AGCAGUGUAGCAUAAUGGUCAGGGUGUUGGUCUUGUGCCUCAAAGGUUACAGGUUCAGUUCCCACUCUGAGCUG